UACAGAGGUUGCAAGCGUUAAUCGGAUUUACUGGGCGUAAAGCGUGUGUAGGUGGUUUGACAAGUCGGUUGUGAAAUCCCCGGGCUCAACCUGGGAAUUGCUUCCGAGACUGUCAGACUAGAGAUCGGUAGAGGGCGGUGGAAUUUCCGGUGUAGCGGUGAAAUGCGCAGAUAUCGGGAGGAACACCAAUGGCGAAGGCAGCUCGCUGGGAC
rnacentral:rRNA from 1 species